rnacentral:misc_RNA from 1 species
GGACUACCGGGGUAUCUAAUCCCGUUUGCUCCCCUAGCUUUCGCGCCUCAGCGUCAAGAAUGGGCCAGGUAGCCGCUUUCGCCACUGGUAUUCCUCCCGAUAUCUACGCAUUUCACCACUACACCGGGAAUUCCGCUACCCUCUCCCACCUUCCAGCCGAUCAGUUUCCGAUGCAAUUUCCCAGUUAAGCCGGGAGCUUUCACAUCGGACUUGACCAGCCGCCUGCGCGCUCUUUACGCCCAGUAAAUCCGGACAACGCUCGCCACCUACGUAUUACCGCGGCGGCUGGCAC